rnacentral:rRNA from 1 species
UACUGCUAUCGGGGUCCGACUAAGCCAUGCGAGUUGAAUGUCCGAAAGGGCAUAGCGCACUGCUCAGUAACACGUGGACAACCUGCCCUGAGGACUGGAAUAAUCCCGGGAAACUGGGGGUAAUUCCAGAUAUGUCAGAACUCCUGGAAUGGGUUCUGGCAGAAAGGCUCCGGCGCCUCAGGAUGGGUCUGCGGCCUAUCAGGGUAGUAGUGGGUGUAACGUACCUACUAGCCUACGACGGGUACGGGUUGUGAGGGCAAGAGCCCGGAGAUGGAUUCUGAGACAUGAAUCCAGGCCCUACGGGGUGCAGCAGGCGCGAAAACUUUACAAUGCGGGCAACCGCGAUAAGGGGACCUCGAGUGCUGGGUUACAAACCUGGCUGUUGGGCUGCCUAAAAAGCAGUCUAUAGCAAGGGCCGGGCAAGACCGGUGCCAGCCGCCGCGGUAACACCGGCGGCUCGAGUGGUAACCGCUAUUAUUGGGUCUAAAGGGUCUGUAGCCGGCCGACUAAGUCUCUUGGGAAAUCUGGCAUCUCAAGUGUCAGGCUGCC